rnacentral:misc_RNA from 1 species
GGGUUGAUGGCCUAUGUAGUAUGUCAAUUACUAGAAAUUGUUGGACCUAAGGGAUCUAAACAAGCUAAAGUAGAUUCUACAAAUGUUAAAGUCAGAAGAUUCUUCAGACCAGAGGAUAUAUCUUCAGAUAAGGCAUACUCUUCUGAUAUCCGGGAGAUCUAUUACAGUGAAGAUAUACAUACAGUUCCUGUGGAAAUAAUCAAAGGAAAAUGUGAAGUGAGGAAGAAGUAUGAUAUUUCCUCUGAAGAUGUCCCUGCCAUGUUCGACCAUAUUUUCUUUUGUGAAUAUUUGUAUGAUCCAUUGAAUGGAUCCCUUAAGAAGUUACCAGCUCAGAUAAACCUGAGAUUGUCAAAAAUUAAGCUAGAUGACGCAACAUCUAGGAAGAGGAAGGGGAAGGGAAAAGAAGGAGUGGAUGAAGUUGGGGAACUAAAUGAAACUUCUCCACAGAAUCGUUUGUCCACAUUAGAUAUCUUUGCUGGUUGUGGUGGCUUGUCUGAGGGGUUGCAGCAUUCGGGUGUCACAGAUACAAAUUGGGCAAUUGAAUACGAAGCGCCUGCUGGAGAUGCAUUUAGACUUAAUCAUCCAAAGACAAAGGUGUUCAUACAUAAUUGCAAUGUGAUUUUGAGGGCUGUCAUGCAGAAGUGUGGAGAUUCUGAUGACUGUAUCUCAACUCCAGAGGCUUCUGAAUUAGCUGCAGCAAUGGAUGAGAGCGAACUGAAUAGUUUGCCACUGCCUGGACAAGUUGAUUUCAUUAAUGGAGGCCCUCCUUGUCAGGGGUUUUCUGGAAUGAAUAGAUUUAAUCAGAGCACCUGGAGUAAAGUACAGUGUGAGAUGAUUCUGGCAUUUUUAUCCUUUGCUGAUUAUUAUCGGCCCAAGUUUUUUCUCUUGGAGAAUGUUAGGAAUUUUGUUUCGUUCAACCAAAAACAAACAUUUCGCUUAACUGUUGCUUCCCUUCUUGAGAUGGGUUAUCAGGUUAGGUUUGGUAUCCUUGAAGCCGGAGCGUAUGGAGUUCCUCAGUCUAGGAAGAGAGCAUUUAUCUGGGCUGCCUCCCCAGAGGAGGUUCUUCCAGAGUGGCCAGAACCAAUGCAUGUUUUUGCUGUCCCAGAAUUAAAAAUCGCAUUAUCUGAAACUUCAUACUAUGCAGCUGUGAGGAGUACUGCUAGUGGAGCUCCAUUCCGUUCACUUACUGUCAGAGACACAAUUGGAGAUCUUCCUGUUGUUGGCAAUGGGGCAAGCAAGACUUGCAUAGAGUAUCAAGGUGAUCCAGUAUCCUGGUUCCAAAAGAAAAUCCGGGGCAGCUCAAUAACAUUAUCUGAUCACAUUUCAAAAGAGAUGAAUGAGCUUAACCUAAUCAGGUGCCAAAGAAUCCCCAAGCGGCCAGGAGCUGAUUGGCGUGACCUUGAAGAUGAAAAGGUUAAACUAUCUAAUGGUCAACUAGUUGAUUUGAUUCCAUGGUGCCUGCCUAACACUGCUAAGCGGCACAACCAGUGGAAGGGGCUCUUUGGAAGGUUGGAUUGGGAUGGGAACUUCCCCACUUCUAUUACUGAUCCCCAGCCGAUGGGCAAGGUGGGGAUGUGCUUUCAUCCAGAUCAAGACAGGAUUGUUACAGUUCGUGAAUGUGCACGUUCUCAAGGUUUCCCAGACAGCUACCAAUUUGCUGGUAACAUCUUGCACAAGCACAGGCAAAUAGGAAAUGCUGUUCCACCUCCUUUGGCAUAUGCGCUUGGAAGAAAACUCAAAGAAGCUGUUGAGAGCAAAAAUAGGCUCACUUAGAACUUUUUUAAGCUGUGAAUUUUACAUGCAUGUCAAUUACCAUUCACAUUGCCAAAUUAUAUCAGUUACUCAUUUAUUAAAUUUGCAGUUUCACCUAUAACCCUCUAUUUAGAGGUUGG